GGGACACGUGGUAUCCUGUCUGAAUAUGGGGGGACCAUCCUCCAAGGCUAAAUACUCCUGACUGACCGAUAGUGAACCAGUACCGUGAGGGAAAGGCGAAAAGAACCCCGGCGAGGGGAGUGAAAAAGAACCUGAAACCGUGUACGUACAAGCAGUGGGAGCCUCUUUUAUGGGGUGACUGCGUACCUUUUGUAUAAUGGGUCAGCGACUUAUAUUCUGUAGCAAGGUUAACCGAAUAGGGGAGCCGAAGGGAAACCGAGUCUUAACUGGGCGUUAAGUUGCAGGGUAUAGACCCGAAACCCGGUGAUCUAGCCAUGGGCAGGUUGAAGGUUGGGUAACACUAACUGGAGGACCGAACCGACUAAUGUUGAAAAAUUAGCGGAUGACUUGUGGCUGGGGGUGAAAGGCCAAUCAAACCGGGAGAUAGCUGGUUCUCCCCGAAAGCUAUUUAGGUAGCGCCUCGUGAAUUCAUCUCCGGGGGUAGAGCACUGUUUCGGCAAGGGGGUCAUCCCGACUUACCAACCCGAUGCAAACUGCGAAUACCGGAGAAUGUUAUCACGAGAGACACACGGCGGGUGCUAACGUCCGUCGUGAAGAGGGAAACAACCCAGACCGCCAGCUAAGGUCCCAAAGUCAUGGUUAAGUGGGAAACGAUGUGGGAAGGCCCAGACAGCCAGGAUGUUGGCUUAGAAGCAGCCAUCAUUUAAAGAAAGCGUAAUAGCUCACUGGUCGAGUCGGCCUGCGCGGAAGAUGUAACGGGGCUAAACCAUGCACCGAAGCUGCGGCAGCGACACUAUGUGUUGUUGGGUAGGGGAGCGUUCUGUAAGCCUGUGAAGGUGUGCUGUGAGGCAUGCUGGAGGUAUCAGAAGUGCGAAUGCUG
rnacentral:rRNA from 1 species